UUUGAAGGGGAAUAAGGUCGGUUCGGCCGGAUUUUACACAAGUGUUGCAUGGCUGUCGUCAGCUCGUGUCGUGAGAUGUUGGGGUUAAGUCCCGCAACGAGCGCAACCCUCAUCCUUAGUUGCCAUCAGGUAAUGCUGAGUACUUUAAGGAAACUGCCAGUGAUAAGCUGGAGGAAGGUGGGGAUGAUGUCAAGUCAUCAUGGCCUUUAUGGAGUGGGCUACACACGUGCUACAAUGGUGUCUACAAUGGGCUGCAAGGUGCGCAAGCCUAAGCUAAUCCCUAAAAGACAUCUCAGUUCGGAUUGUACUCUGCAACUCGAGUACAUGAAGUUGGAAUCGCUAGUAAUCGUGGAUCAGCAUGCCACGGUGAAUACGUUCUCGGGUCUUGUACACACUGCCCGUCACGCCAUGGGGAAUUGAA
rnacentral:rRNA from 1 species